rnacentral:tRNA from 1 species
ACCACCCCUUAUUUACC